AGAGCGGUAGCCUGGAGAUGGACACUGAGACAAGGGUCCAGGCCCUACGGGGCGCAGCAGGCGCGAAAACUCCGCAAUGCGCGCAAGCGUGACGGGGCUACCCCGAGUGCUGUCCGCUGAGGAUAGCUUUUCUUCGGUUUAAGGAGCCGGUGGAAUAAGGAGAGGGCAGGCCUGGUGUCAGCCGCCGCGGUAAUACCAGCUCCCCGAGUAGUGGGGAUAAUUAUUGGGCCUAAAGCGUCCGUAGCUGGCUUAACAAGUCUUCUGUUAAAUCCAACGACUCAAUCGUUAGACUGCAGGAGAUACUGUUGGGCUAGGGGGCGGAAGAAGCCGACGGUACUCCUGAGGUAGGGGUGAAAUCCUAUAAUCCCAGGAGGACCACCAGUGGCGAAGGCGGUCGGCU
rnacentral:rRNA from 1 species